CAUCACAGACAUUUCUCAGCUCACUGGAUGGAUACGAUUUCAUUGACUGGCAGCGACGCCGCUGUUCCACAGCACGAGACAUGACGCUGGAUUUCUAUAGGAGACAUUCACAAGUUAUGAAGAUCCUGAUGGGUCACCACAGGAAACGCAUGGUAGACAGUGGUGCGGAGGAUACUGACCAGGGACUGGACUCGAGUAUGAGGGUACACGUAGGUCAGGUUGGGCUCCAUGAUGUCACUGGCGGUUAAUCUGACUGAGAGGAGAGGAAAAUAAGAUGUUCUUACACUUUGAGGAUGUUGGCGACCAGCCGUCCGAACGCUGCCCCACAGAGCAAAGACGGCACAAAGAGUCCACUGGGUAUGGACACACCGUAGGUCCAACAAGCCAAGAGGAAAUAGAACACGAAGAACAGCAACAGAGUCAAAGGACUGAAGGUUCCUGUUUUGUUGCUGCAGAAGAACUGACGGAUGGUGGAGUUGAUGUCUUCUCCGGAAACCUGAGAGAAAAUGCAAAAUGCUUAGCAUGUGACGAUAAAAGUGAUGUCCUAAGGCAAAGGACAUACAGUUUACUCCACCCUUGUGGUAAAAGGGAUGUACAGCUCACGGCAUUCGCCCAAAAGCAUAGAAGCUGCAAAGAUCACCACUGUCGUCACCAUGCUGACCAGGAGACCCUCCAACACUCUGGGAGAAGACAGUGUCACACAGAUUCUAUGAACAGAUUCUCACAAUGACAUCAGCAUAUCGCUGCCAGGUUUUUCCCUUCAUCUAUAUUGUCUGCAAAGACAAUGUGAUGAAGUUAGACAACAGCUAGCAGGCACAGAGGCAUUAAAGGGUUCACCUGAUGAAUUUAGCCUUAGGGUGGAUGUGUCUCAUGCGAUACUUUGCCAGGCAC